CCUACGGGAGGCUGCAGUGGGGAAUAUUGCACAAUGGGCGCAAGCCUGAUGCAGCCAUGCCGCGUGUGUGAAGAAGGCCUUCGGGUUGUAAAGCACUUUCAGCGGGGAGGAAGGCGGUGAGGUUAAUAACCUCAUCGAUUGACGUUACCCGCAGAAGAAGCACCGGCUAACUCCGUGCCAGCAGCCGCGGUAAUACGGAGGGUGCAAGCGUUAAUCGGAAUUACUGGGCGUAAAGCGCACGCAGGCGGUCUGUCAAGUCGGAUGUGAAAUCCCCGGGCUCAACCUGGGAACUGCAUUCGAAACUGGCAGGCUAGAGUCUUGUAGAGGGGGGUAGAAUUCCAGGUGUAGCGGUGAAAUGCGUAGAGAUCUGGGGGAAUCCCGGUGGCGAAGGCGGCCCCCUGGACAAAGACUGACGCUCAGGUGCGAAAGCGUGGGGAGCAAACAGGAUAAGAAACCUGGUAGUC
rnacentral:rRNA from 1 species